GCUGGUAACACCCUUACAUUUUUGGAGCCACCAGACUAUAAUUCAUCGAGGGAAACCACAUCUACAGCAGUGGAGUGCACUUCUGCCGAUGAUGAGACCGUGUCGCUGGACUCCAGAAGGCUCGAGGAUCCUGACAUUGGGCAGCCUGGUAACAUAGUGAGUAUUGCCUACAGUAAAUUUACA